GCCGCGGUGGCGGAACUGGUAGACGCGCAGGUCUCAAAAACCUGUGGGCGUAAAAGCUCAUGUCGGUUCGACUCCGACCCGCGGCA
rfam:Microgenomates (Gottesmanbacteria) bacterium GW2011_GWA2_43_14 TV73_C0009, whole genome shotgun sequence.